CACUAUGCUUAGACUUAAACAACGAUUAAUUUACAUCCGCCCGGGUAUUACGAACGAAAGUUUAAAACCCAAAGGACUUGGCGGUGCUUAACACCCACCUAGAGGAGCCUGUUCUAGAACCGAUCAUCCCCGUUCAACCUCACCCUUCCUUGCACCAUAGCAGCCUAUAUACCGCCGUCGUCAGCUUACCCUUUAAAGGCCUACCAAGUAAGCAAAAUCGGUUUUACCCCAGAACGUCAGGUCGAGGUGUAGCUCACGGAAGGGGAAGAAAUGGGCUACAUUCGCUAGCCUUAGCGUAAAACGAAUGGCAUAAUGAAACAAAUGCCUGAAGGAGGAUUUAGAAGUAAGCAGGAAGCAGAGUGUCCUACUGAAUAAGGCUCUUGAGCACGUACACACCGCCCGUCACCCUCUCCGAGCACCCCCUCCCCAUCUUAACCUACAUAAGAAAAUUCUUAAGCGUUAGAGAGGAA
rnacentral:rRNA from 1 species